AGAUCCGAGCCGGGCUGGCGGCAGAGAAACCGCAGGGAGAGCCUCACUGCUGAGCGCCCCUCGACGGCGGAGCGGCAGCAGCCUCCGUGGCCUCCAGCAUCCGACAAGAAGCUUCAGCCAUGCAGGCCCCACGGGAGCUCGCGGUGGGCAUCGACCUGGGCACCACCUACUCGUGCGUGGGCGUGUUUCAGCAGGGCCGCGUGGAGAUCCUGGCCAACGACCAGGGCAACCGCACCACGCCCAGCUACGUGGCCUUCACCGACACCGAGCGGCUGGUCGGGGACGCGGCCAAGAGCCAGGCGGCCCUGAACCCCCACAACACCGUGUUCGAUGCCAAGCGGCUGAUCGGGCGCAAGUUCGCGGACACCACGGUGCAGUCGGACAUGAAGCACUGGCCCUUCCAGGUGGUGAGCGAGGGCGGCAAGCCCAAGGUGCGCGUAUGCUACCGCGGGGAGGACAAGACGUUCUACCCCGAGGAGAUCUCGUCCAUGGUGCUGAGCAAGAUGAAGGAGACGGCCGAGGCGUACCUGGGCCAGCCCGUGAAGCACGCAGUGAUCACCGUGCCCACCUAUUUCAGUAACUCGCAGCGCCAGGCCACCAAGGACGCGGGGGCCAUCGCGGGGCUCAAGGUGCUGCCGAUCAUCAAUGAGGCCACGGCAGCAGCCAUCGCCUAUGGGCUGGACCGGCGGGGCGCGGGAAAGCGCAACGUGCUCAUUUUUGACCUGGGUGGGGGCACCUUCGAUGUGUCGGUUCUCUCCAUUGACGCCGGUGUCUUUGAGGUGAAAGCCACUGCUGGAGAUACCCACCUGGGAGGAGAGGACUUCGACAACCGGCUCGUGAACCACUUCAUGGAAGAAUUCCGGCGGAAGCAUGGGAAGGACCUGAGCGGGAACAAGCGUGCCCUGCGCAGGCUGCGCACAGCCUGUGAGCGCGCCAAGCGCACCCCGUCCUCCAGCACCCAGGCCACCCUGGAGAUAGACUCCCUGUUCGAGGGCGUGGACUUCUACAAGUCCAUCACUCGUGCCCGCUUUGAGGAACUGUGCUCAGACCUCUUCCGCAGCACCCUGGAGCCGGUGGAGAAGGCCCUGCGGGAUGCCAAGCUGGACAAGGCCCAGAUUCAUGACUUCGUCCUGGGGGGAGGGCUCCACUCGCAUCCCCAAGGUGCAGAAGUUGCUGCAGGACUUCUUCAACGGCAAGGAGCUGAACAAGAGCAUCAACCCUGAUGAGGCUGUGGCCUAUGGGGCUGCUGUGCAGGCGGCCGUGUUGAUGGGGGACAAAUGUGAGAAAGUGCAGGAUCUCCUGCUGCUGGAUGUGGCUCCCCUGUCUCUGGGGCUGGAGACAGCAGGUGGGGUGAUGACCACGCUGAUCCAGAGGAACGCCACUAUCCCCACCAAGCAGACCCAGACUUUCACCACCUACUCGGACAACCAGCCUGGGGUCUUCAUCCAGGUGUAUGAGGUUGAGAGGGCCAUGACCAAGGACAACAACCUGCUGGGGCGUUUUGAACUCAUUGGCAUCCCUCCUGCCCCACAUGGAGUCCCCCAGAUAGAGGUGACGUUUGACAUUGAUGCUAAUGGCAUCCUGAGCGUGACAGCCACUGACAGGAGCACAGGUAAGGCUAACAAGAUCACCAAUGACAAGGGCCGGCUGAGCAAGGAGGAGGUGGAGAGGAUGGUUCAUGAAGCCGAGCAGUACGGGGCUGAGGAUGAGGCCCAGAGGGACAGAGUGGCUGCCAAAAACUCGCUGGAGGCCCAUGUCUUCCAUGUGAAAGGUUCUUUGCAAGAGGAAAGCCUUAGGGACAAGAUUCCCGAAGAGGACAGGCGCAAAGUGCAAGACAAGUGUCAGGAAGUCCUUGCCUGGCUGGAGCACAACCAGCUGGCAGAGAAGGAGGAGUAUGAGCAUCAGAAGAGGGAGCUGGAGCAAAUCUGUCGCCCCAUCUUCUCCAGGCUCUAUGGGGGGCCUGGUGUCCCUGGGGGCAGCAGUUGUAGCGCUCAAGCCCACCAGGGGGACCCCAGCACCGGCCCCAUCAUUGAGGAGGUUGAUUGAAUGGCCCUUCGUGAUAAGUCAGCUGUGACUGUCAGGGCUAUGCUAUGGGCCUUCUAGACUGUCUUCUAUGAUCCUGCCCUUCAGAGAUGAAGGGCUUGGGGGGGUCUUCCCUCCAAAGCUAGAACUUUCUUUCCAGGAUAACUGAAGUCUUUUGACUUUUUGGGGGGAGGGCGGUUCAUCCUCUUCUGCUUCAAAUAAAAAGUCAUUAAUUUAUUAAAACUUGUGUGGCACUUUAACAUUGCUUUCACCUAUAUUUUGUGUAUUUUGUUACUUGUAUGUAUGAAUUUUGUUAUGUAAAAUAUAGUUAUAGACCUAAAUAAACUUUUAAAACUC